GAUGAACGCUGGCGGCGUGCUUAACACAUGCAAGUCGAACGGGGUGCUCAUGACGGAGGAUUCGUCCAACGGAUUGAGUUACCUAGUGGCGGACGGGUGAGUAACGCGUGAGGAACCUGCCUUGGAGAGGGGAAUAACACUCCGAAAGGAGUGCUAAUACCGCAUGAUGCAGUUGGGUCGCAUGGCUCUGACUGCCAAAGAUUUAUCGCUCUGAGAUGGCCUCGCGUCUGAUUAGCUAGUAGGCGGGGUAACGGCCCACCUAGGCGACGAUCAGUAGCCGGACUGAGAGGUUGACCGGCCACAUUGGGACUGAGACACGGCCCAGACUCCUACGGGAGGCAGCAGUGGGGAAUAUUGGGCAAUGGGCGCAAGCCUGACCCAGCAACGCCGCGUGAAGGAAGAAGGCUUUCGGGUUGUAAACUUCUUUUGUCGGGGACGAAACAAAUGACGGUAC
rnacentral:rRNA from 1 species